UGCCCUCAGAAGCGUGAGGCUGAGUGCAGCUCCGGGUGUGUCCUGUUACAGGACGUAAAACACCGUGGUCGCUGCUCUGGUUGGACCGUGCGUUAGUCAUCUGUUGCUGCUUGACAGUCUCCCCCAGAUCUUACUAGCUGAAGCAGCAAACGUUUGUUGUCCCACGGGUUCUGUAGUUCAGGAAUUUGGGGGUGGUGUGGCUGUCUAGUGCUGUCUCAAGGUCUCGUGCGAUUACGGUGAAGAUGUAGGCCAGGGCUGCUGUCAUCUGAGAAUUGGAACUUGGGCCGCAGGAUCAGCUUCUGAGAUGCCUCGCUCACAGGACUGUUGGCAGGAGACCUGUUUUCACCACAUGCAUCACCCCAGAUGGCUGUUUGAGUGUCCCUAAAGCAUGGCAGCUGGCUUCCCUCAGAGCAAGUGACCCAAGAGAGAAACCAAGACAAAAGCCACAAUGUCUUUUAUGGGCUAGCCUCAAGUCACCUUUGCUUCUGUCAUAGCCAAAUCAGCCCUUCAGUGUGAGAGGAUCAACCCAAAGGCAUGAUUAGCCAUAGAGGGGAUCACUGGGGGCCAUCCUGGAGUCUGGCUACACUUAGAGGGUCAACUUAGAUGAGAGAGAUUAUCAAAUUUCAUCUGUGUUCUCAGAACCAUUGUCCAAGUCUUCAUAAGAGUUGACUAAAGUUUCUUCCAAUAGGGACUGGGAGGGCUCGCCUAGCACGUGCGAGGCCCUGGGUUGGAUUCUCAACACCACACAAAAAUAAAUAAAUAAAAUUUAAAAAUUGAGUCCAAUUACAACUUAAAAAAAUUUAAAAGUUUCUUCCAUAGGUGGCAGCACUUGUCCGUGUCCUGCCCUUCACUCCUUAAACGUCUUGAUUGCCUGCUUGUGACAGAUCACAUACCAAGUGUUGUAGACAGAGUCCUGCCCAUGCAGUUCACAACUGAGUGAAUCAACUCUUGCAGUCGUGUAAAAUGUCCCAUUAAUAAUACAGAUAGAUACAUCGAGGGGGGAUGCUCUGCAGGAGGAUUCUUUAAUAGCAAGAAAUAUGAAAUUGAGAAAAGGUGGCAGGACCAGAGUGACUCUGUGUGACCAGAAUAAAUGACAGAGUGAAUGCAUCCCCCCAAAAAAAUAAAUAAUAAGCCUUCGGCUAUGUAAAGGGUUUAGGAUGCAUUCUAGACUAUAUGAGAAGCUGAUAGAGAUUUGUAAGGGGAUGAUUUUAUUAUCAUGGUCCAUAGAUCUGGUCAACAGAAGCUGACUCUGGGAAACUACACAGGUAAGGGGUAUAUCUGAAGGGUACUGUAUAUAUAUAGCUUAGGGAAUUUUAGGGAGGACUAGAGAAAUGGCCCAGACUAAUCUUCCAUAAACAAAGCUCAGAACCAUGCAGAAGAACUCAUGAGGACUACCAUGUCUGAGAUUGCUGCUGCUACCCACCCCAUGCUGAAGGACAUUGCUGUCACUGCUUCUAGGAACCACUGGGGAAUGGCUGCCACAGGUAUUUUUGUUGUUGUUGUUGUUGUUUGUAGCCACCUGUACUGAUAAAAUUCCAAGUUUCCAAAAUCAUCGUGUUUUCCCACCUCAUUUCCAAAUCAAAGACUCACAGGGGUGCAUCUGACUGAGGAAAUGUGGGUCCCACACCUAAGUCCUGCCUACAAAGGAGACUGGGAUUCAGAAUCUGAACUCCUUCGUUGGGGAGGCAGGACUCAUAAUAUUGGAACUCACCCAAGUUUAGGGAAAGCUAUUCAAAAGAGGAUAGGAAGCCAUGAACCCCUAAGGGCAUGCUCACAUCUAAAAUAUAUCAGUGGUAGAGAAUGGUGGAUUAGAUUAGGGCUUCACAACGUCAACAAUAUUGAUCUUUUGGGCCAUAUAAGUCUUUGUUCUGGGAAACUGUUAUGUACAUUGUAGGAUGUUUAUCAGCAUCUCUGGUCUUUAUCCACAAAAUGCCAGUAGAACCCUUUCCUUCCCCAGUUGUAAGAACCAAAGAUGUAUCAUAGCACUGCCAAAUAUCCCGUGAGAGGCAAAGUCACCUUAAGAACCACUGUAGAAAUCAUCUCAGUUAGGAGACUCUUUUGGUACCUGAGAGAAGAAAGGAAUUCAUGGAAUGAUGGGGUGCAGCAAUCAUGCAUAGAGAAGAUGUUGCAGAGGUAGAAAUAAGAAAAUGUGGAAAAUGACUAUGCUCAGGAGGUAUAUUAGGAAUAGCUUCAGUUGCUCUAACAGAUCCACACAACAGUGGAUGAAAGUAUUUCUCUCUGAAAUAACACUCGGAGAAAACAGUGCAAGGCUAAUGUGGUGGCCAUCUUUGGAGGCCAGUCCACCCCUGAGGACUAUGUAAACUUGCAUCAGUUACCACUUGUAAAAAAGGCAAUA
rnacentral:lncRNA from 1 species